AUUGAACGCUGGCGGCAGGCCUAACACAUGCAAGUCGAGCGGAUGCAGGGAGCUUGCUCCUGGAUUCAGCGGCGGACGGGUGAGUAAUGCCUAGGAAUCUGCCUGGUAGUGGGGGAUAACGUCCGGAAACGGGCGCUAAUACCGCAUACGUCCUGAGGGAGAAAGUGGGGGAUCUUCGGACCUCACGCUCUCAGAUGAGCCUAGGUCGGAUUAGCUAGUUGGUGGGGUAAAGGCCUACCAAGGCGACGAUCCGUAACUGGUCUGAGAGGAUGAUCAGUCACACUGGAACUGAGACACGGUCCAGACUCCUACGGGAGGCAGCAGUGGGGAAUAUUGGACAAUGGGCGAAAGCCUGAUCCAGCCAUGCCGCGUGUGUGAAGAAGGUCUUCGGAUUGUAAAGCACUUUAAGUUGGGAGGAAGGGCAGUAAGUUAAUACCUUGCUGUUUUGACGUUACCAACAGAAUAAGCACCGGCUAACUUCGUG
rnacentral:rRNA from 1 species